AUUAGGAAUCUUGCGCAAUGGGGGCAACCCUGACGCAGCGACGCCGCGUGAAGGAUGAAGGCCUUCGGGUCGUAAACUUCUUUUAUCGGGGAAGAAGCAUGUGACGGUACCCGUUGAAUAAGCCCCGGCUAACUACGUGCCAGCAGCCGCGGUAAUACGUAGGGGGCGAGCGUUGUCCGAAGUUACUGGGCGUAAAGCGCGCGUAGGCGGUUCCUUAAGUCUGGUGUGAAAGGUUCAGGGCUCAACCCGAACAGUGCACUGGAUACUGGGGAACUUGAGUAUGGGAGAGGAGAGCGGAAUUCCUGGUGUAGCGGUGAAAUGCGUAGAUAUCAGGAGGAACACCGAUGGCGAAGGCAGCUCUCUGGCCUGUAACUGACGCUGAGGUGCGAAAGCGUGGGGAGCAAACAG
rnacentral:rRNA from 1 species